GACGAACGCUGGCGGCGUGCUUAGCACAUGCAAGUCGAACGGUGAAGCUCCAGCUUGCUGGAGUGGAUCAGUGGCGAAAGGGUGAGUAACACGUGAGCAACCUGCCCCUGACUCUGGAAUAAGCGCUGGAAACGGCGUCUAAUACUGGAUACGAGAAGGGUCCGCAUGGGCACUUUCUGGAAAGUUUUUCGGUUGGGGAUGGGCUCGCGGCCUAUCAGCUUGUUGGUGAGGUAAUGGCUCACCAAGGCGACGACGGGUAGCCGGCCUGAGAGGGCGACCGGCCACACUGGGACUGAGACACGGCCCAGACUCCUACGGGAGGCAGCAGUGGGGAAUAUUGCACAAUGGGCGAAAGCCUGAUGCAGCGACGCCGCGUGAGGGAUGACGGCCUUCGGGUUGUAAACCUCUUUCAGCAGGGAAGAAGCGAAAGUGACGGUACCUGCAGAAGAAGCACCGGCUAACUACGUG
rnacentral:rRNA from 1 species